CAGUCGCCGCGGUAAUACGUAGGGGGCGAGCGUUGUCCGAAGUUACUGGGCGUAAAGAGCGCGUAGGCGGGUCUUUAAGUGAGGGGUGAAAGUCCGGGGCUCAACCCCGGAACUGCCUUUCAUACUGGAGACCUUGAGUGUGGGAGAGGCGAGUGGAAUGGUCGGUGUAGCGGUGAAAUGCGUAGAUAUCGAUCGGAACACCCAUGGCGAAGGCAGCUCGCUGGCCUAUAACUGACGCUGAGGCGCGAAAGCGUGGGGAGCAAACAGGAUUAGAUACCCCUGUAGUCCCUGUCUCUUAUAC
rnacentral:rRNA from 1 species